rnacentral:rRNA from 1 species
UACGAAGGGGGCUAGCGUUGCUCGGGAUUACUGGGCGUAAAGCGCACGUAGGCGGAUCUUUAAGUCAGGGGUGAAAUCCUGGAGCUCAACUCCAGAACUGCCUUUGAUACUGAGGACCUUGAGUUCGGGAGAGGUGAGUGGAACUGCGAGUGUAGAGGUGAAAUUCGUAGAUAUUCGCAAGAACACCAGUGGCGAAGGCGGCUCACUGGCCCGGUACUGACGCUGAGGUGCGAAAGCGUGGGGAGCAAACAGG